rnacentral:misc_RNA from 1 species
CUUUCUUACCAAUAGGCAAAAGCACCAAUUUCCAUGUGCCAUUUGUAUCUAAGGCCUCUAUUUUCUCUUUUAUAGUGGCACACUAGUCAGGAUGAGAUAAUGCUUCAACUAUAGUUUUAGGGAUAUUUAUAGAGUCUAAAAAAAUAACAAAACAUCUAGAAAAAAGAUAAAUGAUCAUAAGAAAUAAAAGAAGAAAUAGGGUAAGUAAAUAUAUGUUUACCUUUGCGAAGAGGAAUAGGAAGAUCUAGAGUAGGAUCAUGGAUCUUCCGAUGAAGAAGCUAGUGGAGGAUCUGAGGUAGUGUUCUCCACUCUUCUGGAAUAAACAUGAACAACUGGAGGUCGAACUAUUGCCUGUGGAGGAGGAACAUGAGAUUGUAGAGACUGCGGGGAGCUGGACAUUGGUUGAAAGGUGUUUAUUAAGAGGUCAUCAUCUUCCCCCUGACUUCCAUACACAGAGUUUUGUGGCAAAAAUGGAGUAGACUCGAAAAACGUA